GAGUUUGAUCGUGGCUCAGGACGAACGCUGGCGGCGUGCUUAACACAUGCAAGUCGAACGAGAAUCUACUGAAAGAGUUUUCGGACAAUGGAAGUAGAGGAAAGUGGUGGACGGGUGAGUAACGCGUGAGGAACCUGCCUUGAAGAGGGGACAACAGUUGGAAACGACUGCUAAUACCGCAUGAUGCAUAAGGGUCGCAUGAUUCUUAUGCCAAAGAUUUAUCGCUUCAAGAUGGCCUCGCGUCUGAUUAGCUAGUUGGCGGGGUAACGGCCCACCAAGGCGACGAUCAGUAGCCGGACUGAGAGGUUGAACGGCCACAUUGGGACUGAGAUACGGCCCAGACUCCUACGGGAGGCAGCAGUGGGGAAUAUUGGGCAAUGGGCGCAAGCCUGACCCAGCAACGCCGCGUGAAGGAAGAAGGCUUUCGGUAUGUAAACUUCUAUCAGCAGGGAAGAAAAUGACGGUACCUGACUAAGAAGCCCCGGCUAACUACGUGCCAGCCGCCGCAGUAAC
rnacentral:rRNA from 1 species